UGUUUCGGCUAGGGGGUCAUCCCGACUUACCAACCCGAUGCAAACUGCGAAUACCGAAGAAUGUUAUCACGGGAGACACACGGCGGGUGCUAACGUCCGUCGUGAAGAGGGAAACAACCCAGACCGCCAGCUAAGGUCCCAAAGUCAUGGUUAAGUGGGAAACGAUGUGGGAAGGCUCAGACAGCCAGGAUGUUGGCUUAGAAGCAGCCAUCAUUUAAAGAAAGCGUAAUAGCUCACUGGUCGAGUCGGCCUGCGCGGAAGAUGUAACGGGGCUAAACCAUGCACCGAAGCUGCGGCAGCGACACUAUGUGUUGUUGGGUAGGGGAGCGUUCUGUAAGCCUGUGAAGGUGUGCUGUGAGGCAUGCUGGAGGUAUCAGAAGUGCGAAUGCUGACAUAAGUAACGAUAAAGCGGGUGAAAAGCCCGCUCGCCGGAAGACCAAGGGUUCCUGUCCAACGUUAAUCGGGGCAGGGUGAGUCGACCCCUAAGGCGAGGCCGAAAGGCGUAGUCGAUGGGAAACAGGUUAAUAUUCCUGUACUUGGUGUUACUGCGAAGGGGGGACGGAGAAGGCUAUGUUGGCCGGGCGACGGUUGUCCCGGUUUAAGCGUGUAGGUGUGUGUUCCAGGUAAAUCCGGUUCACUUUAACACUGAGGCGUGAUGA
rnacentral:rRNA from 2 species